GCAUUAAUGGUGUAGUGGUUAGCAUGGGAUCUUCCCAGUAGUUCUACGAACACGUUAGGUCUCGACCCGAGUUCGAAUCUCGGUUAAUGCA